UUCGGAUGCUGACGAGUGGCGAACGGGUGAGUAAUACAUCGGAACGUGCCCGAUCGUGGGGGAUAACGGAGCGAAAGCUUUGCUAAUACCGCAUACGAUCUACGGAUGAAAGCAGGGGACCGCAAGGCCUUGCGCGGACGGAGCGGCCGAUGGCAGAUUAGGUAGUUGGUGGGAUAAAAGCUUACCAAGCCGACGAUCUGUAGCUGGUCUGAGAGGACGACCAGCCACACUGGGACUGAGACACGGCCCAGACUCCUACGGGAGGCAGCAGUGGGGAAUUUUGGACAAUGGGCGAAAGCCUGAUCCAGCCAUGCCGCGUGCAGGAUGAAGGCCUUCGGGUUGUAAACUGCUUUUGUACGGAACGAAAAGACUCCUUCUAAUAAAGGGGGUCCAUGACGGUACCGUAAGAAUAAGCACCGGCUAACUACGUGCCAGCAGCCGCGGUAAUACGUAGGGUGCAAGCGUUAAUCGGAAUUACUGGGCGUAAAGCGUGCGCAGGCGGUUAUAUAAGACAGAUGUGAAAUCCCCGGGCUCAACCUGGGAACUGCAUUUGUGACUGUAUAGCUAGAGUACGGUAGA
rnacentral:rRNA from 1 species